CCUGAGCCACCGCCUCCCGCCCCGCCUUCCAGGCUUCCGUACGGCGGCGGCGCAUGCGCCCGAGCCCCGCCCAGCUGGCCGGGGAAGCGCUGCGAGCCGCGUGCGACGCCUCCCUCUUAGCUGGUGGCGACCGGAGGAGGCCGCGGCCCUGGUUUUCCCUGCGGCCCGCGGGGGACGUGGAGGCUGGGAGAGACGGGGAGCCUGGAGGAGGCGGCGGAGAGCCGAGCGGCGAAGCCCCCUCGGCGCAGGCCUGCGGGAAGGGAGCGCGCCACCCGGGAAUCUCGCGGGGAGGUCUUCGCGGACAAUUGUCACCUCACCCCGCUGUGCCUUCGGGAAAUUUCCCCUGAGCCUGGGCGGGAAGGGGGAUAGUGGCCACGGUGACUCGUUGCAUUUUGGCGUUCUCAUCCCAGGCUUCACCUGUUAGAUCUGUCGGUGACUCCCAAGUCUGCGUCUCCAUUUCUCUCCCAAGGCCCAGGCCAGCAUAUGGAUACGUGCUGAUGGUCCCACACUCAGAUUGCCGAGGGGAGCUUAUAAACCUAUCCAUGGGAAUAGAAGAGAAGGCCUCGUAUCACUAAUAUUCAGCAAGUGGAUGUACCUGGUAUGCCUCAGCCUCACUGGAGGUCCAGCCCUGUACUCUACCAGUGCUCUCAUGGAAAUAAAAAUCAGAAUAUCCAUGGGCACUUGGAUAGCUCAGUCAGUUGAGCGAUUGCCUUCAGCUCAGAUCAUGAUCCUGGGAUCCUGGGAUUGAGCCCGCCUCGGGCCCCCUGCUCACAGGGGAGCCUGCUUCUCCCUCUCCCUCUGUCCCUCACCCCUGCUUGUGCUCACUCUCUCUCUCUCUCUGUUGAAUAAAUAAAUAAAUUCUGUAAAAAACAUCAGAAUA